AUUUUAAUAAAAUUCAUAUAACAUUUGUGAGAAAAGAAACGCAUGAGUUCUCUCUUUCUCGGAAGAACUAUGAGCUGACGAGUUGAAGAACAGAGAUGAUAAACUGAAGUCGAAGAACUGAUUUCCUCAAGCGUGAGUUCGAUUCUCAUCUCCAAUAACAAUUUCAUCAAGCAAGAGGAGAAUGAUAAGGAACUGAAGCUAAGACCCCGAUUUUAGACAGAACAGAAGAGCUCAACAGCUAAAGAGCUUCUCGCUGAAGGACACGAUUUUCAUCAUAGUUCUCGCAGAAAACAGGAUUUUGUUGGAAUAGGGUUUAUCAGUGCCACCAAGGUCUCUGGAUCCUUCAAAGGACUUAGCUGUUUAUGGAUAUGGAAGUAUAGGUAGGAAGGAGAGAAUGAAAAGUUGGAACCAAAAGCAAGAUAUGAAAAAAAGAUGGAGAGGAUGGCGAAGAUGAAUUUGAUUUAUCACUGUUAAAUGAAGCAACACAACCAUUAUCAAGAAAAUGGUGGGACUCUUAAAAGUGCUAGUACAACUUCUCUACUAAAAGAGUGCAUUUAUGUAAUAAGCUGUUGCUAUGAAGAUGAAACAGAAUGGGGAAAAGAGGUAAUAAUUCUGAUCCAUCUCUUAAAAUUCCUUACUUUCUAAUCGUGUUCAAAAUGUACCGGUUGUUCAAUGUAACUACUUUGAAAAAGCAGCUUGGCUGGAUAAAGAGGUACUUGUUCUGAUCUAGAGUUGCAUGAGAUGUGCAUUGUUCACAUUGUUUCUAUUGGGUCAGAAUCAUUGUGCACACUGAAUCCAGACUGUGUUGACGGGUACACUAUUUCAUUUUGAAUAUUCUAGUACAUCACAUGUUUUCUUACUUGAUCUCAAUGUCUUAUUGGGAGAGACUUAAAAUUAUUUUUUCUGAUAUAAUCUUUGUUAUUUGUUUUCUUCUUGUUUUUGUCACAAGGAAAGGAGCAAUAUUGACAUAUGAUACUCGUACAGAUCUGUUAUUUUUUAGUUCAUUUACUACAUCGGACUAUGUUGCUGCUCAGCGGCUUACGUGAGACAUGUUCUUUAUGUUAGCUAUACGAAAGUAAUCUAACCCAGUCAUGAAUUACUUUUAGACAUCAUCUGAGUGAACUAGUCUGAUGUUAUUGUUGUCAUCUGAGAACUGUAGAAAUAUAGCGGCAUCUGAAAAAACUGAAAACGUCCAAUAUUUGUAUCCUACCUUAGGUUUACUUUUACACUGAAGUAUUUGCCAAAACAUUUUAAGUUGAUACCUUUGAACCUACAAUCCAAUCCAAGCAUAUGACUUGAUAAGAUAUAGUUAAGUAUCUAAUAUCCUGAGAGUGAUGCUUAAUUCAGAAAGGAGAAAAUGAUCUAGGACCAUUGUCUUCUAAUUUCUAGCUUGUUCUGUCGUUAUGUAUAUUCUUUUAUGCUUAGUUUGUGCAUAUACUCUUUAAUGCUAACCUUUCCAAUUUGUGUCGUAUACAUUUCUUACAGAUACAAACAGAAAUGGAUCUUUAAGAAGUACAGGAAACAUGACUGGUAUAACUUCGUCACAUGCAAAAUGAGACUACUUAUCAAGACAAAGCUACUCAGACUAAGAACAAAGACGAAGAUACAAUUGAAAAGCUACUCAAAGCCAUUACUACACUUUGUAUUAAAGUGGAUAGUAUGGAAAAUGAGAUACAAAAGCUAAAGACUAAUGAAGAUAACCUGAAGUCUAAAGCUAAUAUAAAUCAGCAGCAUGACUAUAAAAAUGUGGAGCUACGUCGAUCGGAAGACGGUAAAAUUCCAGAGAUAAAAGGAGACGAUGGUCGUCGAUUUGUGUUCAAACGUGGGAUUACAUUGCCUCAUAGCAUUGCAAAUCACCUCAUUCGGCAUAAAAGAUAUUGUCAGACCAAAAAUCUCAGGUAGAAACAUGUCACCCAGACACAUAAGGGAGAAAAUUGUCAGGAAGAGUGCAGGGAAAGCAAAGAGAGAGAAGAAGGAAGGAAAUACAAGGAGGAGAAUCCCCAUUGACCACAAUGUUCCUUAGUGGGCUUGAGGGGUCAGGAACACAAUACAUACGUUUAAAGAGGACCAAGAUAUGGAAAAUAUAUAAAAAAUAACAUUGUUGCAGAAGGAGAAGUCAAAGCAGCAAAAGUCACUGAUACCAAGAUGAUAUUUAUACACCACCCACUAAGACCCCAACAGAUGAGAGGCUAAAUAGAUAGGAUCCCCUCUUUACCUCACUCUCGAUUUUGAUGUCUUUCUUUAGAUUACAUUCUGUAUUAUUUGAUCAUAUGUAUUUGAGGGAAAAUAGUUUUUUAUUUGUGAGGGAGUAAGGCCAACAUUUUAUGUGUGACUGCUAUUUUUAUUUGUCUUUUGUGUUUAUACUUGGGGUGUUAUGUCUUACAUAAUGUUUUAUAUGCUUUUGUGGAUGUUUUGAGCAUAUAUCUCCCCUUUGGUUAUGAUUGAGAAAUGAUUUAGACCCUUCUGGAAAAA